rnacentral:rRNA from 7 species
GAGUUUGAUCAUGGCUCAGAUUGAACGCUGGCGGCAUGCCUUACACAUGCAAGUCGAACGGCAGCACGGGAGCUUGCUCCUGGGUGGCGAGUGGCGAACGGGUGAGUAAUGCAUCGGAACGUAUCCUGGAGUGGGGGAUAACGUAGCGAAAGUUACGCUAAUACCGCAUAUUCUGUGAGCAGGAAAGCGGGGGACCUUCGGGCCUCGCGCUCUUGGAGCGGCCGAUGUCGGAUUAGCUAGUUGGUGAGGUAAAGGCUCACCAAGGCGACGAUCCGUAGCAGGUCUGAGAGGAUGAUCUGCCACACUGGAACUGAGACACGGUCCAGACUCCUACGGGAGGCAGCAGUGGGGAAUUUUGGACAAUGGGGGCAACCCUGAUCCAGCCAUGCCGCGUGAGUGAAGAAGGCCUCGGUUGUAAG